GGAGAGCUAGUCCUAACUGGUAAGGCAGCGGACUUGAAAUCCGCCGGGAGCAAUCCCUUGGGGGUUCGAAUCCCUCGCUCUCCG
rfam:Candidate division WOR_3 bacterium SM23_60 WORSMTZ_10061, whole genome shotgun sequence.